rnacentral:lncRNA from 10 species
CCAAUCUUGCUUCCAAGAGCAGCUUUAUUCCAAAUAAUCCACAGGUCAAAAUGUAAAUGAUGAAUUCUCCACUGCUUACUUCGGACUAGCCAGUUGGUCCUGCCUAUGCUGCUGACAUAGCUUCAUGUGCCUUUGAGUCCAACAUAAGACAAAACAAAUUCCACGUUUGCAUCUCUUUGAAACUCCAUUGCCUGUGACUACUUGAUAUGGUUUGGCUGUGUCCUUACCCAAAUCUUAUCUGAAAUUUUAAUCUAAAUUGUAAUCCCCAGGUGUCCAGGGAGGGACCUGGUGGGAGGUGAUUGGAUCAUGGGAACGGAUUUCCCCCUUGCUCUUCUUGUGAUAGGAGUGAGUUCUCACGAGACCUGAUGGUUUUAUAAGAGGCUCUUCCCCUUCCCUCCCUCUCUCUCUCUCUCUCUCUCUCUCGCUGCCUUGUGAAGAAGGUGUCUGCUUCCCCUUCAUCUUCCGCCAUGAUUGUUAAAUUUCCUGAGGCCUCCUCAUCCAUAUGGAACUGAACCAUGAUAGUGUUUGGUACAUAGAGGACACUGGAAAUGGUUUUCUUAACUGAACAAGUGACUAGAAUAAAGGAAUUAAUGAACGACAUCAGAGCUGAAAUCCCAAACCAUAAAUCAUAAAAGGAUCAGACAGCAAAGAGUACUCAAAAGCUGAUUUAUUGAGAUCCUGAUGAGUUUGAAGUAACUAGAAACUUGAUCAAGACCCUGACUAAUAUAAGAUGAUUUUUUAAAACUGGAAUCUCAGUGGAUUCGUCUCAACACGGCCAGAUGGAUGAUUCUUCCAGGGACUAAUGAACUUGUUAGAAUUUCGGAUAACAUUUGGUUGUCAAAAAAAAAAAAAGAGCAUAAAAAGUAAUAGACCAUAACUGAGAUGGGUGGGGCUUAUUCUAGAUAAGAUAGUCAAGGACUGACAUAUGGGAAGAAGGCUACCUUCUGUGAAGGCAUCAGCCAUUGAGGAUGCUACUUCUGUAGCAUCUGGAGCAAAAUAUUCCAGGCAAAGGGAAUAAGAAGUGACUCUAAAAUAAUCAAUAAUAUGGAAAUUGUACAGCAGAAGUUGAAAGAUUAGAGAGGCAGAAGUUCAGUGAGAAAAAAAAAAAGUAGAAUAGAUAAGGUCAAAGGCUUAAGCCAUAGCAUAUCAGACAGGCUAAUGUUGACCAUUAAAGAAAGUUCCAAAUUCUAAGAGUAAUAGGAGGCUAUUAGAUGUAUUUAAUUAAGAAAGGAUGUGCACUGAUGAGCAUCUUAAACAGAUAGCUUGCUGCUAUUUAGAGAACAGAUUGCAAGAGGGAAAGACCAGCAGUACAAAUAUUGGCUAGUCUGCUACUUCUAUAGUACAAGUGAAGGAUGAUGAUAAAAAGAGGACAUUCGUGGUGGAGUAGGGGUUUUUUAAUUUUAUUUUGAUGAUGGAGCUACAAGAGUUUCUGAUGAUAAUAUAUGUGUGGUUAGAAAAUAAAGUCUUAAUCAACUGGGCACAUGAUGAUCCCAUUUCCAGAAAUAGGAAAGAUUGGGGGAAAAUAGAUUGGAUGGGAGGAAAAAAAAUCAGAAGUUAUAUUUCAGUUAUGUUAAUUUUUAUGUUAAUUUGGUUAUGAUAAGUUUUACUAAAUCAGACAAGAAUAGAAGGAAUCAAUGAUGUGUCUUUGCUACAUCUGAAAGAACUGAUUGGCAUAGAAACUAGAAGAGAUUCCAGAAGAAAUCUAUUUAGGGAAUCUUAAAUGGACUAAAGUUAAGACUAAAAAAAAUUCUGUAUUUCAGUUGACGGAAACUGUGCAUCCCUCCAGCAAUUCUGGAAACCACACGGAGCACGUUGCCUACUGUACAUAAUUCUGGUUUAAGGGGGCCAGAGAGGUGGGAGUGGUGUGGAGCAGGUAGUGUAAGAAUCACUGCAGCUUCCUAUUAAUAAUAAAAAUGUGCAAGACAAUAAACACGGCUGCUAUACCAAAGAAAAGCAGAUUUCUACUCAGAAGAAAAUUCUCUGAGUGACUGCCUCUAUCUGUACCUCUUUCCUGUAACCCUAUAGCCUUCCAACUUACUGAACUACAAUAUAAAACUGUAGGAAACAAUCAGCUUUACUAUAAAGCUAUAGUAAAGUUUUGUUCAGUUUUUUUUCUGAAUUCAUAGAAGGCUAUUGAUUCAGAAUCCAUAGCCACGCCUGUCACAUCAUUUUGCCUGUUUUCAUUUAGAAUCCUUUCCCUACAAAUUUCAAAAGUGUCCUUAGUGUUUUAAAUACUGUUCUUUGCACCUUAUGUUUCAAGUAUUAAGCACUUUUCUCACCUGCAUUUCCGAGCUGAAUUCACCAGCUGGACGCCAUUCCAGUCCACUUAUAACCCAGGCUUAGAAUACCCUCAUAUUCAGGGAAAGGGCAGUUGUCAUAUAACCUGUGACUCUCACCUUCGAUGAUUUUGUGAUCUGUGCUACUGCCUGUAGCCUAGUAUGCAUUAUAACUAAGCUGCUAAGCUAUAUUCUGUUGUUUUUUACUCCUACCAAUGAAGUUGACUAUGUAUUUCCAGUAAAGAAAAAGUUCAUUUUAAAAUCCACACACUAGCCGACUGGGUGCGGUGGCUCACGCCUGUAAUCCCAGUACUUUGGGAGGCCAAGGCGGGCGGAUCACGAGGUCAAGAGAUCGAGACCAUCCUGGCUAACACGGUGAAACCCCGUCUCUACUAAAAAUACAAAAAAAAAAAAAAAAAUUAGCUGGGCAUGGUGGCGGACACCUGUAGUCCCAGCUACUCUGGAGGCUGAGGCAGGAGAAUGGCGUGAACCCGGGAGGCAGAGCUUGCAGUGAGCCGAGAUCAUGCCACUGCAUUCCAGCCUGGGCGACAGAGCGAGACUCCGUCUCAAAAAAUAAAAUGAAAUAAAAUCCACACACUAAACAUCUCUGUUCUCUGUGGAAAGACACAAUUUCAGCAUCAAUUAAAAUAUAACUUUAUGUAGGUAAGGUAUUUGAUCUUAGUGAUGUGUUUCUCUUAAUUUCAGACAGUGACAAGACCCAAGAUUUGUUUUACUCUAAAGUGAGAAAUUAUCCUCAACAAAAAAACAUUUCACAGUGAGAAUCAGAAGAAUAUUUGCAUCAGGCAACUCUGGGUGCUAGAUAUUUAUUUUUUUUCUUUUUCACAUGAACUAUAAAAACUUACCACAAAAGACUGAUCUCCACAACUGCUUAUACUCUAGGUAUGUGAACAUAAGCAUAAACCCAAAGGUCAUUAUCCAGUCACAGUUUGGUAUUUUAUCAACAUCAUGGCAAAUGAUGUUGUUCAUAAGAACCUGAAUCUUAUGCUUCCAUUUUCCAGGAUUAUUAUACAUUGCACUGUUCUUGCUGAUACUCCAAAGACAUGUAGAAAAUAGAAAGGUAAGUUUGCAGGAGGAAAAAAGAACAAUGGAAUGAAGAAGCAAACAGGGAGUUAAAAUAACUCCUUGGAAUAGUAGAAUCAGGAAAGCAAAGGUAAAGCAUUAAAGUCUAAGGGCUGCAUGACUCCUAAGGGGAAAAUGCAUGUAUUUCUUUUAUUUUGCACUGAGAUUAAAUUUGCUGAUUUUUUUUCAUACUGUGUGUUCUUUCGCUCCCAAUCCUCACAUAAAAUAUUUCAGGGUGACCAACUGCUCUUUUGUGUUACAUUUUAAACAGGUAGAUGACUUUCACAUGUAGGCAAAGUUGAUUCUAGGAAUUAUUGUGAGGUAAGAGAAAUGUGUUUGAGACAAGGUGUGGUCUCUUCUUCUUAAGUUUUCCUCUCUGCAUGUUUUUA